UGCCAGCCGCCGCGGUAAUACGAAGGGACCUAGCGUUAUUCGGAAUUACUGGGCGUAAAGCGAGCGUAGGCUGAUCUGUAAGUUGGAUGUGAAAUCCCAGAGCUUAACUCUGGAACUGCAUCCAAAACUACAUUUCUUGAGUUUGGUAGAGGAGAGUGGAAUUCCUAGUGUAGAGGUGAAAUUCGUAGAUAUUAGGAGGAACACCAGUGGCGAAGGCGCUCUGCUGGGCCAUCACUGACGCUCAUGGACGAAAGCCAGGGGAGCGAAAGGGAUUAGAUA
rnacentral:rRNA from 1 species